CCCUUAGAUGUUCUGGGCCGCACGCGCGCUACACUGACGAAUGCAACGAGCUUAUAACCUUGGCCGAAAGGUCUGGGUAAUCUCCAAAUUUCGUCGUGAUGGGGAUAGAUUAUUGGAAUUAUUAAUCUUCAACGAGGAAUGCCUAGUAAGCGCAAGUCAUCAGCUUGCGUUGAUUACGUCCCUGCCCUUUGUACACACCGCCCGUCGCUCCUACCGAUUGAAUGGUCCGGUGAAGCGUUCGGACCGUGGCCUUUGGACGGUUCGCCGUCUGUUGGCUGCGGGAAGUUCGUUAAACCUUAUCAUUUAGAGGAAGGAGAAGUCGUAACA
rnacentral:rRNA from 1 species